ensembl:snRNA U1 U1 spliceosomal RNA
AUACUUCCCUAGUGAGGGAGAUAUGGCCAUGGAUUAAGGUACUUGGUCCCAGGGGAGGCUCAUCCAUUCCACCUUGGGUAUACAGAUCCCUGAGAUUUCCCCAAAUGUGGGACAUUCUACUGCUUAAUUUCUGGCAACAGAAGUGCAUUCAUGCUUUCCCCUU